AACGAACGCUGGCGGCAUGCCUAACACAUGCAAGUCGAACGAAGCCUUCGGGCUUAGUGGCGCACGGGUGCGUAACGCGUGGGAAUCUGCCCUUGGGUUCGGAAUAACAGUUAGAAAUGACUGCUAAUACCGGAUGAUGUCUUCGGACCAAAGAUUUAUCGCCCAAGGAUGAGCCCGCGUAGGAUUAGGUAGUUGGUGGGUAAUGGCCCACCAAGCCGACGAUCCUUAGCUGGUCUGAGAGGAUGAUCAGCCACCCUGGGACUGAGACACGGCCCAGACUCCUACGGGAGGCGACAGUGGGGAAUAUUGGACAAUGGGCGAAAGCCUGAUCCAGCAAUGCCGCGUGAGUGAUGAAGGCCUUAGGGUUGUAAAGCUCUUUUACCAGGGAUGAUAAUGACAGUACCUGGAGAAUAAGCUCCGGCUAACUCCGUGCCAGCCGCCGCGGUAA
rnacentral:rRNA from 1 species